GAUGAAGAACGCAGCGAAAUGCGAUAAGUAAUGCGAAUUGCAGAAUCCGUGAGUCAUCGAAUCUUUGAACGCACAUUGCGCCCUUUGGUAUUCUGAAGGGCAUGCCUGUUCGAGCGUCAUUAUCACCACUCAAGCCCGGCUUGCUGUUGGUGGCAGCGCAGCCGGUCAACCGGCUACGCUCCACCCAAAGAUAAUGACGGCGUCUGCGAGGACUCCUGUACAUUGAGCUUUCGGGCACGUACAUGGCUAGAAGUCCAGGCGCCGGUCGACGUCCUCCGGGACACUUUUUACCAAGGUUGACCUCGGAUCAGGUAGGGAUACCCGCUGAACUUAAGCAUAUCAAUAAGCGGAGGA
rnacentral:misc_RNA from 1 species